rnacentral:rRNA from 1 species
UACAGAGGGGGCAAGCGUUGUUCGGAAUUACUGGGCGUAAAGGGCGCGUAGGCGGCCUGUUAAGUCGAACGUGAAAUCCCCGGGCUCAACCCGGGAACUGCGUCCGAUACUGGCAGGCUUGAAUCCGGGAGAGGGAUGCGGAAUUCCAGGUGUAGCGGUGAAAUGCGUAGAGAUCUGCAAGAAUACCCGUGGCGAAGGCGGCCAGCUGGGCCGGGUCCGACGCUGAGGCGCGAAAGCGUGGGGAGCAAACAGG